ACUAAAGUAACGAAUAAUUAGAGCAGCAGUAAAAUAACAAUUGCGAAGCUAUAUACAGUGGAUACAGGACCAGUCAUGUUUGAUGUAGUUGAUACCAUUCCGCCAUCCACUCCAGCCAUUAUCACGAACCCAUCCUACCCAUAUAAGGUGCCACCAACCUCAUGUUUUGCUCUAUUUGGUAGGUGUGGCUUGAAGCAAUGGGUGGCAUGUUUAAAUGGAAGUCGCUAUGCUGACAGCCUUCAACCGGCGUGUGUUCAUUAGUCGGAUUCCGUGGCAAAACGUUUCGCAACGGAAACCUUUCACAGUUUAAUAUAUGAAGCAAACGGAACGGAGAGGGACCCACCUACAAUUGUCCAAUAUAAACUAUAGUUUUCGUUGCAAAACGUUUUCUGUUUGGAGUAAACAAUUUGUUGCCAAAUGUUUGGCAAUAGACCACACGUUUUCCAAUGGAAUCAGACUAAUGAAUACAUCCCUGAUCGUUCAGAACAGCACCGUUUCGGUUUAAUUGAACGUUCCACUAACUUACGGUUUUUCGUUGAAGGAAGCCGUACUAGCUAAAUCGCUAGUUAUUUAGCAUUGUUAGCAAUGAUUGCUAACAUUGCAGUGGUCGCUGCUUAGCUUACUUAGUGCAACCAAUAACAACAAUAUUGACACUAGUCAUACUGCAAUCGUGAUACAUUUGCUUCAGAAUAAUAAAGAUUAUCGUAGAAGUCUAGUUUUACCUGUACAUUCGUAUUUUGUGGAUGUAAAAGGACGACCGUGUUCAUUCCAUUGUUUGGACAACCAGCUGACGGACACAGCUGAGCUAGCUGUGCUUUUUAAAUACAACUUUCGUCAGAUUUUUUUUCAAAACAGUAAUACAUCUAAUCAAUCUACACGUAGGUCAGAAAAGUGGAAGCAUGUGGAUUUGUACAUUUUUAUUCGUAGAAUAAUGGUAUUGAGUAAUUAAUAAUACAUAUUUUAACAUUAUGCCAAUGUAAAGUUACACAAAGAACGAAUCCCCUAAAUAGAAACCCAAGAUAUACAUGUGAAAGAUUCAAUUUGUCGCGGGAUAGCUUGAAAUAAACAACAUUCAAAAUUGUACUGUUUUAUUUCAGUGUGGUCGUUUAUCUAAGUUAUUCAGUAUUUCAUUUUGUUUCUAGUUUGGACACUGUUAAGAUACUUAAUUUACGUCAUUAAGUAACUAGCUACAAGUAGCGUUUGGUUUCUCAAGCUGGCUGAAUACGAUAUUAUGGCUCGACCCACAAGAGCCAAGAACCAAUUGAAUUACUCAGACUUGAUGGAGCUUGAUGAUGAUGAAGAUGAAGAUUUCGCCUGUAUGAAAGAGCCUUCCAGCAAGAAAGCUCGGGUCCUUGUCAAAGAACCACAGAGAGACAAGGGUCUGCAUCAAUCAAGCAAAUCUUUCGGUCAGGAUUCAAAGAACACAACUUCAUGAGGUCACAAGUGAGAGGGGAUCCAAUGUCAACCCCUCCAGCCAAAGAUGGGCAGCUGUCAAAGCUAAAGAUCAACAGAGAUCCAUACUGAAAGUGGAGAGGAUCAGUCAGGUUGAGAGUGGGCGGGAGGAUAAGGAUUACCAGCCUACCUGCAUACCACAGAGUUGUAGUCCGACUCCAGCAACAUCAAAGCCUGUGUCAACUCAGAGGAAGCUUGCUGACACUCCCACUUUACCUGUUAGAUCAUCCCCUAUCAGCCCAGUAGGUGGCAGGCUUCUAAAGUGGAAUCCACCAGCACAGAGUGGAAUAAGCCCCAACUCAACCCCAAAUUCCACCACAAAGUCUCCGGGACAAGGCUUGCGACUGGGAUUGUCCCGCUUAGCAAGGGUCAAACCUCUGCACCCCACUGCUAGUGGUAACUGACUCUUUUCCCUAUUAAACAGUGAAGUCAGAAUCUCAUUUUCUUUGGUGUACUGUGUGUUUAGCCUGUUACUCUUGUGUUGCAUUGCUAAUAUUGGAUUUCUGUAAUAAUUUUUGUUUAAAUGUUGUAUCUAGUGAUUGCUAUUCAUCAAAAAAAUAUUUUUAAACAUUUGUUUCUUACCAUG